CCUACGGGUGGCAGCAGUGGGGAAUAUUGGACAAUGGGGGGAACCCUGAUCCAGUGACGCCGCGUGAGUGAAGAAGUAUUUCGGUAUGUAAAGCUCUAUCAGCAGGGAAGAAAGAAAUGACGGUACCUGACUAAGAAGCCCCGGCUAACUACGUGCCAGCAGCCGCGGUAAUACGUAGGGGGCAAGCGUUAUCCGGAUUUACUGGGUGUAAAGGGAGCGUAGACGGCGAUGCAAGUCUGAAGUGAAAGGCGGGGGCCCAACCCCCGGACUGCUUUGGAAACUGUAUGGCUGGAGUACAGGAGAGGUAAGUGGAAUUCCUAGUGUAGCGGUGAAAUGCGUAGAUAUUAGGAGGAACACCAGUGGCGAAGGCGGCUUACUGGACUGUAACUGACGUUGAGGCUCGAAAGCGUGGGGAGCAAACAGGAUUAGAUACCCUAGUAGUC
rnacentral:rRNA from 1 species